GAUAGAGAUAAGAAAGGCCAAUGCCCUUCAUAUCCACUGACAAAGCCAGAUAUAUUAAGGAGAAGCUCAGCUCAGCACUCAGCCAAGGCCCAUUCUGGCAAGAUGAAUCCCACCAGCUUCUUCCUCCUUACAAUGCUCCUCGUUCUGGUGACAGAAACAGCAGCAAGGAGACCCCGUGAAAAAUUCUCACAAGAGUCUGAAGAGAGUUCUUCUAGUGCAGCCUCUGAAGUUACUUCAUCGGGGGAAAGCGGGGGAUCAAGUUCUUCCCAGGACGACAACAGCCCAAGUGACAAGUCAGGGGGUUCCUCCUUUAAAAAAUCAAGCAGCAUGUUCAAGGAGAUAGUCUAUGAGGAAAGGAAGAAAAAACAGAGUGGUGGUGAUGGUGGUGAUGGUGACGGGAAGAGUGACUCAGAAAUAGAGCGGUCUUAUGUAAGAAGAAAGGAAAAGCAACGGCUUGCACAAGAAGUAGCUAAAUAAUGUGGCUAUGAACCAACUGUCAAGUGGACAAAAGUAAUGGUAAGAAUUUGCCCAGGUGGAGGGCAUACCU
rnacentral:lncRNA from 1 species